rnacentral:rRNA from 1 species
GACGAACCGUGCGAACGUUGUUCGGAAUCACUGGGCUUAAAGGGCGCGUAGGCGGGCUAUAAAGUCAGUGGUGAAAUCUUUCAGCUCAACUGGAAAAGUGCCGCUGAUACUGAUAGUCUCGAGGGAGGUAGGGGUCGAUGGAACUAAUGGUGGAGCGGUGAAAUGCGUAGAUAUCAUUAGGAACGCCGGUGGCGAAAGCGAUCGACUGGACCUCUUCUGACGCUGAGGCGCGAAAGCCAGGGGAGCAAACGGG